GGAAUGCGCAAACGUUAUUCGGAAUUACUGGGCGUAAAGGGCUCGUAGGCGGCCAACUAAGUCAGAUGUGAAAUCCCUAGGCUCAACCUAGGAACUGCAUCUGAUACUGGAUGGCUUGAAUUCGGGAGAGGGAUGCAGAAUUCCAGGUGUAGCGGUGAAAUGCGUAGAUAUCUGGAGGAAUACCGGUGGCGAAGGCGGCAUCCUGGACCGACAUUGACGCUGAGGAGCGAAAGCUAGGGGAGCAAACGGGAUUAGAUACCCCGGUAGUCCUAGCCCUAAACGAUGAAUGCUUGGUGUAACGGGUAUCGAUCCCUGUUGUGCCGAAGCUAACGCAUUAAGCAUUCCGCCUGGGGAGUACGGUCGCAAGGCUG
rnacentral:rRNA from 1 species